UACUUCCUUUUUCUCUUUCUUUCUAUCUUCUGCAACAGAAUUUGGCAGUAAUUACGCUGACAUUGUGAAAAAAUGCCAUAAAGCAGAAGUUGGAUUUGGCUGCCCUAAAUCAGAAGUUGGAUUGGAAUUUCUCUAUUUAAACUGUUCUCUAAACUAAGAGAGUUUGACUUUCAACACACUAUUUUUAGAAAGUGCAACAUAAUUUCUCCAUCAGUUGGACAAACUGUAAGUUCCCUUUUUUCCUGCUAGUGUUUAAGUAAUGACAAUUUUUCUUUGAAUUCAAUGUUAUAGUUUACAUUUUUUCUUUUUGUGUUUUUGAUGUUAAAUAUGACUUGCAAUUUAAUUGUUGAUUGCUUUUAUAUCAAUGUUUAUUUAUAGUAAUUUAAUUUUUUUUUCUAUUUAUUUGUAGAGAGGACACUCUAAUUAACAUCCUCAUGGAGACAAAACAAACAUGGCUCCGACAAAUCCCAUUGGUUCACCGAGUGCUCAUGCAUCAACUACAAUUUCACCUUUUAUGUACUGCAUGCAAGCAACCCCUGCAGAUGGGACCUCCGGAGGUAGAGCGCUUACAGUUUGGGCAUGAAUCACCGGGGCCAUUGUGUCACAGUAUUAAGAUCACCUGCAAUGGGUUUAUUUAACAGGUCUGGCCACAGAUAAAUGUUAAACCUCUGCUAAAUUGUUUUAAUCCAUGUAAAUUCAAUCAUUCAGCAUACAAAACCCACCAGUGACCUUUCACUACAACAGCAGAAAGCAAUCACCAUAUUGAUUUGCUAAUUAAAGAGAAAAUUCAGUUACCUGUGUACUAAAUCAUCAAUGUAUGUUAAUAGCAUGAGUGCAUCUGUUGGGCCAAGGAGAGAAAAAUCCACUGAAUUAUGAUAUUGCAUUAUCUCCAGACAUCAAUGGCUUUUUAUAAAGUCUCUGAAAGCUUUGCUAUUGAUUGAGGGAAGGAUUAUGACAGAAGGAUGCUGUGCACUGUGCUUGUUUGUUCCUCCCCGGGAACACUGAAGAUUGCUUUGCUAUUUUGCUCAAACUGCAUUUAACCAGUCCUGACACUUAAAACCAAGCUGUGUACACAGACGAAACUGCGCCUUGACAUAUUGUAAGUCUUUUCAGCAUAGAAAUCGAUAGUUUUAUUGAAAGUUCACUCCUCUUAGAGUUAUUUUCUGUUGCCUAUUGAUCUGCAGGUGAAUGAACUCAUAACAAACAACUAACUGCUUUUAGGUCGGACAUCGGCGGUGCCAGUUCUGACAAUUAUACACUUGUGCAAUGUUGUUUUGGCAAAAUUGCUUAGGAGUCUGUGGUGAGAAAAUCGCAUUCUUCUACAUUUACUUUAAAUGCAUGCAUUUCGCAUUUCGUAUUUAUGCAUUUUGUUUUUACUUAACUUAUUUAUUAGAUAUAUUCAAUGCAAUAAUUAUAA
ensembl:lncRNA